UACGAAGGGGGCUAGCGUUGCUCGGAAUUACUGGGCGUAAAGGGAGCGUAGGCGGAUAGUUUAGUCAGAGGUGAAAUCCCGGGGCUCAACCUCGGAACUGCCUUUGAUACUGGCUAUCUUGAGUAUGGGAGAGGUGUGUGGAACUCCGAGUGUAGAGGUGAAAUUCGUAGAUAUUCGGAAGAACACCAGUGGCGAAGGCGACACACAGGCCCAUUACUGACGCUGAGGCGCGAAAGCGUGGGGAGCAAACAGG
rnacentral:rRNA from 1 species